ACGGGGCCCGGCACAAGCAGCGGAGCAUGUGGUUUAAUUUCGAAGCAACGCGAAGAACCUUACCAAGACUUGACAUCCCCUCGACAGCUGUUGAAAGGCAGUGUCUCUUCGGAGCAGGGAGACAGGUGGUGCAUGGUUGUCGUCAGCUCGUGUCGUGAGAUGUUGGGUUAAGUCCCGCAACGAGCGCAACCCUUAUCCUUAGUUACCAGCACGUAAAGGUGGGGACUCUAGGGAGACCGCCGGGGACGACUCGGAGGAAGGUGGGGACGACGUCAAAUCAUCAUGCCCCUUAUGUCUUGGGCUACACACGUGCUACAAUGGCCGCAACAGAGGGAAGCGAGAGCGCAAGCUGGAGCAAAACCCUAAAAAGCGGUCCCAGUUCGGAUUGUGGGCUGCAACCCGCCCACAUGAAGUCGGAGUUGCUAGUAAUCGCGAAUCAGCAUGUCGCGGUGAAUGCGUUCCCGGGCCUU
rnacentral:rRNA from 1 species